UAAAAAUGUAAUUUAUUAAAACAAAUUAUUAAUAGUUAAGUUCUUUAAAAUUAAAUAAUUUGGCGGUAUUUUAGUCUUUUCAGAGGAACCUGUCCUGUAAUUGAUAAUCCACGAUAAAAAAAAUUUUUAUUAGAAAUUUAUAUAUCGUCGUUAAAAUUAUUUUAUAAAAAAUAUAAUAAUUAAAAUUUUUUUAAAAAAAUAAAUCAGAUCAAGGUGUAGUUUAUAUAAAAAUAGAGAUGGGUUACAUUAUAAAUAUAUUUGGAUAAUAAAAAUUAAAUUUUAUUAGAAAUUGGAUUUGAAAGUAAUAAAUUUAAAUUUAAAUUUAUGAUUUAGCUCUAAAAUAUGU
rnacentral:rRNA from 1 species